UACCCACCACCUGUGUAUAUAACAGACCACUCCUCACAUCCCCAGGGCAAGAGCUCUUCCUGCCCACUGGGUCCUGUCCCCGGGCUUUAAUAAACCACCAUUUUGCACCAAUGAUGUCUCAAGAACUCU